AUGGAGCCCCGGGCAGUUGCGGAUGCCUUGGAGACGGGAGAGGAAGAUGCGGUGACAGAAGCUCUGCGGUCGUUUAACCGAGAGCGAUGGCUGCUGCUUCAGAGGUAGAAGCAGACCUGCUGCUUCUCGAGGAGCACAGGUCCUACCUGCGUGUGGAACUGAGCUUCCUGGGUCUCCCUGCAGCAUUCCCAGAGCUUCACCUUCGAUGAUGCACAGCAGGAGGACAGGAAGAGACUCGCAAAGCUGCUGGUCUCCGUACUGGAGCAGGGCUUGUCACCAAAACACCGUGUCACCUGGCUGCAGACUAUCCGAAUCCUAUCCCGAGACCGCAGCUGCCUGGACUCAUUUGCUAGCCGCCAGAGUUUACACGCACUAGCCUGCUAUGCCGACAUUGCCAUCUCAGAGGAGCCCAUCCCACAGCCCCCAGACAUGGAUGUCCUCCUCGAGUCUCUCAAAUGCCUGUGUAAUCUUGUGCUCAGCAGUCCUACAGCACAGAUGCUAGCAGCAGAGGCUCGACUGGUGGUGAGGCUAGCGGAACGUGUGGGACUGUACCGCAAAAGGAGC
rnacentral:lncRNA from 1 species